CUCGUACUCCCUCCGUCCGGAAAUACUUGUCCUCAGAAUGAAUAAAAGGGGAUGUAUCUAGACGUAUUUUAGUUCUAGAUACAUAUUUUUUAAUCCAUUUUGAUGACAAGUAUUUUCAGACGAAGGGAGUAUAAG
rfam:Triticum urartu cultivar G1812 contig44507, whole genome shotgun sequence.